UGCUCCCUCUCUGGCCAGUAUGACCCAUUCAUCCCUGUAACUGAGCUAUUGCAACAACUAGUUUUGCUGGUGGUAGUCCAAUUCCUAGAAUAUCAUGCCACAUUUUGCCCUGGCAUAGAGUGAAUGAUCUUAAUCAAAACAAGUCAGCUUGAACUAAGUGCUCUGUUGGUAGGCUGCUGCAAGUCUGAUACGGAGUAAAAGCACUGGGAUUUUGCUACGCUAACAGGCAAACAAGACAUGAUUAAAAAAAAUAAAUGAUGGGUGACUGGGAAGAAUGUGGUCAAGAGGAAUACGGACAUGACUUGAGAGGAAGUUAUGAUGGCAGCAACCUAUUCAUUGGAAUAAAAAUGGCUUAAAACAAAGCAGGAGACAAGAUUUCUCAGAUGGAGUAGCUGUCAAGCUAUGGGAAGGUGAUUUACAGCAAUGCCUUAAGAAGCAGGCUGCAUUCAAAUGCAAGAAAGAACACUGGACAGAUAUUUGGCUGGGGUGAUAUGACCCCGACACCCGUUCCUGCCCGGGGCAGGCGGUCGGACCUGAUGAUCCGUUUAGGUCCCUUCCGACCCUAAGCAUUAUGGUACUAUGAUACUGUGAACAUUUGAACUCGUUUUCUUUUCUCCACAUCCUGAGG